AAUAUUGGUCAAUGGGCGCAAGCCUGAACCAGCCACGUCGCGUGAAGGAAGACGGCCCUACGGGUUGUAAACUUCUUUUGUAAGGGAAUAAAGGGUAGUACGUGUACUAUUUUGCAUGUACCUUACGAAUAAGGAUCGGCUACUUCCGUGCCAGCAGCAGCGGUGAUACGGAGGAUUCGAGCGUUAUCCGGAUUUAUUGGGGUGAAAGGGGGCGCAGGCGGUAGAUUAAGUCGGCGGUGAAAUUUUGCAGCUCAACUGUAAAAGUGCCUUCGAAACUGGCUUCCUUGAGUGUGGAUGAAGUAGGCGGAAUUUGUAGUGUAGCAGUGAAAUGCAUAGAUAUCACUAGGAACUCCGAUUGCGCAGGCAGCUUACUAAGCCAUAACUGACGCUCAGGCACGAAGGCGUGGGGAUCAAACAGG
rnacentral:rRNA from 1 species